AUUUUAACUCUAGCCUACACAAACACCCACUACUACUAAAUUAUCUAAAACAUUUU
rnacentral:rRNA from 1 species